rnacentral:rRNA from 1 species
ACAUCUAAGUAGGGCGAGGAAGAGACAUCAAACGAGAUUCCGUAAGUAGUGGCGAGCGAACGCGGAAGAGGGCAAACCGGGAGUAGAAAUACUUCCGGGGUACGGACUGCUUUUAGGACUUAAUCUGUUAACCGAACGGCAUGGGAAGGCCGGUCAGAGAGUGUGAGAACCACGUAGGUGAAAACGGAGAGAGCUGCGCAGGAUCCAGAGUACGGCCAGACACGUGAAACCUGGUCGGAAUAUGGGGGGACCACCCUCCAACCCUAAAUACUACCCAGUGACC